rnacentral:lncRNA from 1 species
AAUCAUCUCUCCACAAAAACUUCUCUCUUGGGUUUGCUCUACGGCACCAUCAUAAAUUCUAGGGAUUUGGGCGGUGUGCAGCGAUCGACUCUAGUAGCCGGAUUGCAACGAGUAAGAACAACGUGCAACAAACUAGAGCCGGAUUGCAACGAGUAAGAACAACGUGCAACAAAUUGAGACAGGACGUUGGUGGAUCAACGAGUUCGUAAAACAAGACGAGAUCAGAUCCUGAUAAUCACAACAUUAAUUCCGCACCAUAAAGAGGUAUAUAAAAAUCUAUGUGAUAUUUGUAACGAUUGAUUUUUGGGUAUUUAAUUAAUUUUAUCCAACAGGUAUCAGAGCUUGCGGGAUCUGCCCGCUCUGGGCUUGGAAGGAUCGCCAGUGCAGGGCCUGCAGGGGCCCGCAUACACAGGGCCUGUGGCCUUGUGUUGCCGCCCGCGCUGGGCUUGCUGGGCGGCCCGCCCUGGAUGGACCUGCGGGCUUCCUGGCUAGCCCCCUCGCACCAAGCUUUGUGGACUGGGCCUGUAAGGCUCUCUAAGUCCACGUCAUAUUGGCCCAAGCCGACCUCAACCCGUGGGCUUGCAUGAUUUUAUAAAAGAGAAUUAUAUAUAUAUAUAUAUAUAUAGAAGUAAUAUAAUAUAAUAGAUUCUUAUCCAUCACCAACUAACAAAGUUCCUUAAUGACAAAUCUAUGCAUCAUCUUUCAUUUAACAUAUAUGCAUAUGAUAUGCAAUCGUUCAAUUAUUAUAUAUUGUUUCUUGCUAUGAUACAUGUGAUGAUAUUUUUCAAGUUGCAAUGUGUUAUUACAUAAUGUUCAUUAUUUAUUUUGUGACGUGGAUUUAUUCUUAAUUAAUUUGAUAUAUUAUUUUUAUCUGUAUUGGAUGAGAUGAUUAUUAGUCUUUUUCAAAAGUGAAAUUUUCGAUUUGAAGAUGCAGUGAGAAAUUUUAUUAUCAAAUUAGAUUAAGAAUAAUAUUGUGGAUAUUUGUGCCUAAUUUAAAAUUAUGUGCAUUAUUGUAGUGAUAAAUGGCUUCCAAAAAUUUUUCUAUCGCGGAUUCGUUAAAUCAAAAUAAGCUUGAUGGAGCAAAUUAUAACAUGUGGCAUAGAAAAAUUCAAUAUCUCCUUAAUGAGAAAGGGAUACUUAGCCAUUUAACCAACAGUAUGUUUCAGCCUGAAGAAGGCACGACGGCUCAGCACCGUCGCGAUUUGCAAGCCUAUAACGAGUGGCUUGAGAAAGAUCGAAGUGCACAAUAUACCAUGUUGAGUUGUAUGCACGAUGAUUUGAUCAAAGAAUUUGAGAAUUAUGAGACUGCUAAAAAUAUGUGGGAGCAGCUCAAAGUGAAAUACGGGGGCACAUCGACUACAAGACUUCGUGCCUUGAAUCUCAAAUUCAAUCAAUACUUGUUGGACCCGAAGCAUUCUAUGGCAGAGCACUUAAGGGUGAUGUCUGCUAUGAUAAGAGGACUUAAAGCAGCCGGUUGUGAGCUCACUGAUGAACAGCAGGUUCAAUCAGUUAUAAGAUCCUUACCAGAUUCAUCUUGGGAUCAAAUCAAGGUUGUGCUAACUCAUAAUGAAGGUAUCAAGACCUUCAACGAUGUAACUCGACAUCUUGAGUUGGAAGCGGAGCGCAGAGAGGCGAACCGUGCCAAUGCACUCGUUGCCCACGGUGGACAGUGCAGAGGCAAGUGGCCUAAGCACAAGCGCCGAAAUGGAGAAAAUAAAUAUGCAAAAACUGGAAACUGCGCGCCGAAUGAGGGCAGAAUUGAGAAGCGCCGCAAAGGCAGGCGCGGAAAGAAAAAUUUAAAUAAAGUGAAAUGCUAGAACUGUGGAAACAUGGGACACUUCGCUCGUGAUUGCACUGAGCUGAAGAAGGUAAAUCCCAAUCCUGACUCUCUUAUUUAUGUAUGCUUGCACGUUUUUGUUGCUCACGCUUUCUCUGAUUGGAUUGUAGACACAGGAGCAACAAAGCAUGUAACGAGAGAUCGAGCAGGAUAUGUGGAUUAUCGUUGGGUGUCUGCUAGUAGCCAUUAUGUCAUGAUGGAAAACGGCAGUGAGGAAGAAGUCCUUGGAAUUGGCACAUACCAACUUAGAUUGCGCAAUGGUCGUUAUUUGAUAUUACAUGAUGUGCUGUAUGCACCGAACAUCCGAUGUAAUCUACUAUCAGUUUUAGCGUUACUUAGAUUAGGUUUUUCUUUUCAAUUUACGGAUACUCAGUUAGCUAUUUAUUUGGGCAAGGACUUUUAUGGUAAUAGUUGUUUAAAGAAUGAUUUCUUUGUCUUAGAUUUGGACUUGGAUUUUAUUAAUCAUAACAAUAAUUCUACUUUAUUAGUUUCUUCUGAUAUUGUAUCUGAUUCUAUCAAAUGGCAUGCGAGAUUGGGUCACAUUGGACAAGAAAGAAUGGCUCGACUAGCUAGAGAAGGCCUGUUGGGGUCACUCGCUAAGCUUAGCCUACCUCCUUGUGAACCAUGUUUAGUAGGAAAAGCCUGCAAAAAGCCUUUUGGUAAGGCGCGUAGAGUAACUCAUCCAUUGGAGCUAGUUCAUUCAGACAUAUGCGGACCUAUGAAUGUGAGAGCACGUCAUGGCGCGUACUAUUUCCUCACUUUCAUUGAUGACUACUCCCGUUAUAGUUCGGUAUAUCUGUUGUCUCACCGUUUAGAAGCUUUAGAUUAUUUUAAACGCUUCUUAGUGGAGGUUGAGAACCAAACAGAAAGAACUCUAAAAGUUCUACGUACUGAUAGAGGACGAGAGUAUUUAUCAGACCAGUUCAGGGAACUAUGUGAGGAAAAGGGAAUACGCAGAUAGUUAACUAUUUCCGGUACUCCGCAACAAAAUGGUGUUGCAGAGAGGAGGAAUAGGACACUUUUGGAAAUGGUUAGGUCAAUGAUGGCGUAAGCCAACCUCCCAAUUAGUUUUUGGGGUGAUGCAUUAUUGACUGCUGCCUAUAUACUUAACCGAGUGUCCUCUAAGUCAGUUCCUUCAACUCUCUAUGAGUUAUGACAUGGAAUAAAGCCAAAUUUGGAAGGCUUACGACCAUGGGGAUCGGCAGGAUAUGUGCAUAAUACUUCCCAUAAAUAUGAAAAGUUAGGCCCUAGAGCAAAUAAACAAAUUUUUAUUAGAUAUUCUGAUUGCUCAAAGGCUAUGUGAUGUAUGGCAAGCAUCCAGAUGGAGGAAUGAUUGAGAUAGAGUCGCGCGAUGUGGAUUUUCUUGAGAAUAAUUUUUCAGACAUUGGUGAGAUUAAAAAGGAUCUUGCACUAUAUGAGUUGCAAGAACCUAAUGAAAAUGUCCCAUUGUUAGGCGAGAAUGAGGCACUGAGGCCACAUGAUGAUAUAACCCAAAACAGUGGGAGUGAUCCUAUAGUUAGUGGGAAUGUGCCGAUUGACCAUGGCUCACAAAGUCCAUCAUUACGAAGAAGUAAACGUGGAGGUGUUUCCCGUCGUCGAUUUGAGAUCGAAGGGGAAUCGUUCAUGUGUGCUUCUACGGAUGUUGAUGAGCCAGCUUCUUAUGCUGAAGCUAUAGUUCACCAGUUUGUGAUAAAUGGCUAGCUGCUAUGGAGGAUGAGAUGAGUUCUAUGGCUAAGAAUAAUGUGUGGGAGUUAGUUGAUCUUCCGUUUGGAUGAAAAACUAUUGGAAAUAAAUGGAUCUUUAAAAUAAAACGUAAAGCGGAUGGAUCAAUUGACAAAUAUAAGGCUCGACUAGUGGCUAAAGGAUACACCUAAAAGGAGGGAGUAGACUAUGAAGAGACAUUCUUCCCAGUGGUGAGGUUUGUCUUAAUUCACCUAAUUCUGGCUAUCGUCGCACAUUCAGAUUUGGAAUUGUUUCAAAUGGAUGUGAAGACUCCAUUUCUCAAUGGAGAACUAGACGAGGAGAUUUAUAUGAAUCAACCUCCUGGUUUUAUAGCCGAAGGACAAGAGUGCAAAGUCUGCCGCUUGAAACGUUCCAUUUACGGCUUGAAACAAUCGUCUAGGCAAUGGUAUCAACGUUUUCAUAGAGCAAUUAUAUCAAUAGGCUUUGUGAUGAUCGAAGAAGACCAUUGCGUGUACGUUAAAAGGGAAGAAAAAAAUUUUCUUAUUCUUUCACUAUAUGUAGACGAUAUCUUGUUAGCUGGAAAUAAUAUGGAGUUAAUAAUCACCACACAGAAGUGGUUGUCCUCUACUUUUGAGAUGAAGGAUAUGGGACAGGCGGAUUAUGUAUUGGGAGUCAAGAUCCAUAGGAAUUAAUCUCGAAAAUUCUUAAGUUUGUCUCAAGAGACUUACAUUAAAAGGAUUUUGGAGCGAUUCUGAAUGCAUAAUUCGAAACCCAUUGACACUCCAAUGGAAAAGGUCAUUAUCUUAGCCUUGAACAAUGCCCUAAAAGAGAAGAAAAGAGAAAGCAGAUGGAAAAAGUCCCAUAUGCGAGUGCAGUCGGCAGCUUGAUGUAUGCAAUGAUGUGUACUCGGCCGGACAUAUGUUUCGCUAGUCGUUAUCAGAGUAAUCCUGGAGCAGCACAUUGGCAUGAGUUGACUCUUAUCUUGUAAUUUUGCGAAUAAAUAUUUUUGACAUCCUUUUUCAUUCAUAAACAUGUUUAUUAAAUUUUAAAUUAGUGCACAAUAUCCUUGUGAGAAUGAAUGUCACCAGGCCUUUGAUCAGCCCUCUCACACGGGUGAUCGCCCUGUCACUAGAAGAGCGAGCAGGAUGAGACAAAUAAGAUCACAUAAAUGCAGUUAGUAAUGCAGGUGAUCCACUUUGCGCUAUAAGAGCUGGCGAGUGUUUAAAUCUUGAAUGUCGCCUUAGAUGAGCUAAGAUAGGACUGUACAAAGUCGACAGUAGAGAUGGUCCACGACUCUACUCGGUCUGUAUGAAGCCGAAUGUAAAAAAAACACCAUGUGGGUGAUUGUCUUGAGGUUUGUUGUGUUGAGUUACAACAAAACCGACAUUCGUAUGGUGUUUUGAGCGUGACAUGUCCUUAGAGGUAGCUCCACCAUAGCAUACGUUCAUACCGUAUGUGCAAGAUCGAUCACUAUGUUUUAGAGAGUGACGAAAUUGAUUCCCGUUUCAUCGUUGUGUGAGCUUUUGUACCCUUUGGGACUUAGAACCAUGUUAUGAAGUGGAUACUUGAUGAUGCUACUUUAGCAUGAUAUCCAAGGGCCAUGAUUGAUUCGGUCCAGCGGAACAUGUCUAGGAAAGCAGUCAAGUUGAAAUGGAUUGACAUGAGGCAUCUAAGGAAAAAUUAUUUGAUAAUACACCUAUGAUUUGUUACUCAUUGCCCGGGCGAUUAUGUUGAUAUUUGUUGUCAAUAUAAUCAUGAGAACAAAUACAUUAAUAAGAGAGAUCUAGUUUGCUCUAAGGGAUCAGAGAUGCUAUGAUCUGGUGUAGUUCAGUGAUUUGGGGUAUAGACGAGAUUUGGAGUUGUAGUGUUAUGUUAGUUCGGAUGGUGGCUUAAUAUAACACUCUUCACUUAUGAUUCUUCUCAUUAUUGAUCGCACCAACCAUUUCCCGUAUGAAGAGCAGAACGGGAUGAGAAUAUAUUUGGGAUAAGAAAGUAUGAAUAAGUACCAAGUGUGUACGAGUGGGAGAUGUUAGGAUUCGUCCACAUUGGGACUUAUCUAAAAUAUUUCUAAUCCAUAUGGGAUAAGAAAUAAAUAUUUAUAAUUAUUUGUUAUAUUCCUAGUCCACUUGGGAUAAAAAAUAAAUCUAACAGAUAAAUCCUAAUCUGUUUAAAUCUCUAUCUAUAUGAGAUUUAGUUAGAAUAUGAUUAGAAUUAAUAUCUUCUUUAUGGCCUAUAAAUACAUGAGGUAUCAACCAUAUACGAUAUAAGAAAGACAAAUAAAAAAAAGGAAUCAUCUCUCCACAAAAACUUCUCUCUUGGGUUCGCUCUAGGGCACCAUCAUAAACCCUAGGGAUUUGGGCGGUGUGCGGCGAUCGACUCUAGUAGCCGGAUUGCAACGAGUAAGAACAACGUGCAACAAAUUGAGACAGGACGUUGACGGAUCAACAAGUUCGUAAAACAAGACGAGAUCAGAUCCUGAUAAUCACAACAUUAAUUC